rnacentral:tRNA from 1 species
GCUUCCGUAGCUCAGUUGGUUAGAGCGUCGUACUAAUACCCUAUUCGGGUGUCCAGUAAUGCGAAGGUCUCAGGUUCAAGCCCUGGCGGGAGCA